GUGCCAGCAGCCGCGGUAAUACGGAGGGUGCAAGCGUUAUCCGGAUUCAUUGGGUUUAAAGGGUGCGCAGGCGGGAUACUUAAGUCAGUGGUGAAAUCCCGGGGCUCAACCCCGGAACUGCCAUUGAUACUGAAUAUCUGGAAUACGGUUGAAGUGGGCGGAAUGUAGCAUGUAGCGGUGAAAUGCAUAGAGAUGCUACAGAACACCGAUCGCGAAGGCAGCUCACUAAGCCGAUAUUGACGCUCAGGCACGAAAGCGUUGGGAGCGAACAGGAUUAGAUACCCUGGUAGUCCACGCCGUAAACGAUGAUAACUCGUUGUUGGCGACACACAGUCAGCGACUAAGCGAAAGCGAUAAGUUAUCCACCUGGGGAGUACGAUCGCAAGGUUGAAACUUAAAGGAAUUGGCGG
rnacentral:rRNA from 1 species